rnacentral:misc_RNA from 1 species
UACGGAGGGUGCGAUCGUUAAUCGGAAUUACUGGGCGUAAAGCGCUCGUAGGUGGCUUGAUAAGCCGGUUGUGAAAGCCCCGGGCUCAACCUGGGAACGGCAUCCGGAACUGUCAGGCGAGAGUGCAGGAGAGGAAGGUAGAAUUCCCGGUGUAGCGGUGAAAUGCGUAGAGAUCGGGAGGAAUACCGGUGGCGAGGGCGGCACCCUGGACAAAGACUGACGCUCAGGUGCGAAAGCGUGGGGAGCAAACAGG